AAGUCAUGAUAUAGGCAUUGUUUGAGCAUUCCUUUAAAUAUGUCUCAAGCUUCAUAUAAAGAUUCACUUUUGUUUUGCCUGAAAGUUGCUAUCAGAUUCCUCAUAU